UGCCAUCUCAUUACUGUGCUGUUUCCAGUGUAGCAGGCCCCGCCUGAAGUCAUCUUGUUUGUCUACUUCAGAGCUGCCAACGGAAUGCGCCUGCGCUAGACUGUUGUCGGAUGUGAGAGACACAUGGAGCCACCGCUGCCCCAGAUGACAGCCAGCCAACUUCCAAAGCGGAGCUCCCUGAUGACUUGGCAGCUGAUCUUAGAUGCAUGAGCGUGCCCGCCGGGACCCGCAGAAGAAUUGCCCAGCUGGUCCCAGUCUAAAUUGCUACCUCUUGAAUUGUGAGCUACAAAUAAAUGGUCGUUGUAUUAA